UCCGAAAUUGCAUUUCUCCUCUCUCUAGUGGAUCUCUUUAAUGGCAUUUCAGUUUCUUGAGGUUGUUGAGUUUGAUUUUCAUUAGUUAUAUCAGGGUCAUGAUGGGGGAGAUUUUCGAGAUUGUCUUGAACCGGAGUUGUGUGAUCCAUGUCAGGAAGACUAAGAUCAACAACUUGAGGGAAAGACACAUGUUCUUCCUCAAAGACAAAAUCUCUAACAACUUUAUCUCCCCACCCCCCAAACUCAAUAUCNNNN
rnacentral:lncRNA from 1 species